AGAGUUUGAUCCUGGCUCAGGAUGAACGCUAGCGGCAUGCUUAACACAUGCAAGUCGAACGAGGAUCAGAUAGCUUGCUAACUGGUCCUAGUGGCGGACGGGUGAGUAACGCGUAAGAAUCUGCCCCUAGGAGAGGGAUACCAACUGGAAACGGUUGUUAAUACCUCAUAUGCUGAGGAGUGAAAUGGUUUCAUACCGCCUAGGGAUGAGCUUGCGUCUGAUUAGCUAGUUGGUGGGGUAAUGGCCUACCGAGGCAAUGAUCAGUAGCUGGUCUGAGAGGACAAUCAGCCACACUGGGACUGAGACACGGCCCAGACUCCUACGGGAGGCAGCAGUGAGGAAUUUUCCGCAAUGGGCGAAAGCCUGACGGAGCAAUGCCGCGUGGAGGAAGACGGCCCGUGGGUUGUAAACUCCUUUUCUUGGAGAAGAAUAACUGACGGUAUCCAAGGAAUAAGCAUCGGCUAACUCCGUGCCAGCAGCCGCGGUAAUACGGAGGAUGCAAGCGUUAUCCGGAUUCAUUGGGCGUAAAGGGUCCUGAGGUGGCCUGUUUAGUCUACUGUGAAAGCUCAGGGCUUAACCCUGACAAUGCGGUGGAAACUGGCAGGCUAGAAUACGGUAGGGGCAAGGGGAAUUCCCAGUGUAGCGGUGAAAUGCAUAGAUAUUGGGAGGAACACCAAAGGCGAAGGCACCUUGCUGGGCCGCUAUUGACACUGACAGACGAAAGCCAGGGGAGUAACCCGGAUUAGAUACCCGGCUAAUCCUGGCUGUAAACGAUGGACACUAAGUGUUGAACGAUUCAAACGUUCAGUGCUGCAGCUAACGCGUUAAGUGUCCCGCCUGGGGAGUAUGCUCGCAAGGGUGAAACUCAAAGGAAUUGACGG
rnacentral:rRNA from 1 species